UACGUAGGGGGGCUAGCGUUGUCCGGAAUCAUUGGGCGUAAAGAGCGUGUAGGCGGUCCGGUAAGUCCGCUGUGAAAGUCGGGGGGCUCAACCCUCGAAUGCCGGUGGAUACUGUCGGGCUAGAGUGCGGAAGAGGCGAGUGGAAUUCCUGGUGUAGCGGUGAAAUGCGCAGAUAUCAGGAGGAACACCAAUGGCGAAGGCAGCUCGCUGGAACGGUACUGAGCUGGAGGCGCGAAAAGCGUGGGGGAGCAAAACAGG
rnacentral:rRNA from 1 species